rnacentral:pre_miRNA from 7 species
CUUCAAGGUUCCUGGGUGUCACGCAAAUCUCGGUGGAACCUCCAAAUGAAAGAACAUAGUGGGGAAACCCCAACUCGUAUCCCGUAUCCCGAGUCAGCGUGCACCCAAAGACCCUCUUGGUGCA